AGCUGGGAAUGGAAAAGCUUGUUGCUUAGGGGGUGCGCCAUGGCAACAAUCAUUUGUCAUUCUGAAUCAUGGCACAUACCUGAGCACUGGUAAUAACUUGCUUGUUAGCCUCAACCUUCUUACAGUGAAAGGAGACAGGAAGAAAGGAGAAAAAAAAACACCCAAAACCAACAACAAAACACCCCAGCUACAGCUUAGCAAAUGUGCUGCAGUUAAGUCAUUAAGCAUGAAUAGCGAAGGGAUAAUGGAGGGCCAAAGGAAGUUGAAACUUGAACUUGCUAAGGAAGAACAGUUUUCUGAGGCACCAAUGAAGGUAUAUAAACAGACAGAAUCCAGGUAUUAAAGGAAGCAAGGGAGGCCUGAGUGGUGGCAAACAAGCUGACACACCAAAGGAUCCACCUAGAAGCAACGUGCUAAAUCCUGCAGAAGAGCACACAGCAAGAGCAGAGAGCACAUGGAAAACCAUCUGAGUCCUGAGAGAAGUCAGGGAGUAGCUGUGCUUCAAGUGCCCCUUCUGCCUGCUUCACAGGAAUGCUGCCUUGCAAUGCCGGUGUCUUGCUCAGUGCCAGCCACCGUUUUGUCCUUAGCUCCGAGGACUCUGGGGUUUUGAAGAGUCCCAGGAGCAUCUUGAAGGAAUGCAUCUUUCAGCCGAGUUCCCAAAACUAUCAGCAGCAGGGAGAGCAAUUGUGUCUCUCACCAAUACCGAUGUUCUGCAUGCAUGGGAAGGCAAAGGUGGAUCCCUACACAUGGCUGUCGAGCAGCUCAACAGAUCUGCCAAGCACUGUCCUCAGGUAGCCCUCAGUUACGGAAGAACAGCUAUUAAAUUAUAUAAUACUUCUUUAUAAAAAAGCAGCAAAAUUAUUAUUGUGAAUACAGAAAUAAUUCAUUGCAACAUUGUCACUUUCUAU